UCACAUUGGUUAACAGUUCUA
rnacentral:misc_RNA from 1 species